rnacentral:RNase_P_RNA from 1 species
GCGGAUGGCCGGAUGACCGCGGGCGGUGUGAGCCGUCCGAGGAAAGUCCGGGCUCCAUGCAGGCAUGGUGCCGGGUAACGCCCGGCGGGGGCAACCCCAGGGAAAGCGCCACAGAGAACAGACCGCCUCCGCUUGCGGGGGCAAGGGUGAAACGGUGGGGCAAGAGCCCACCGCGGGACGGGCAACCGGACCGGCACGGCAAGCCCCACCAGGAGCAAUGCCGAAUAGGGAUCGCGCGCGGGGCUGAGCCCCGCAGGGCUGCCUGCGCCCCAGCAGAUCCGGGUUGGCAGCUAGAGCCCGUCGGCAACGGCGGGACCAGAGGAAUGGUCAUCCACGGGCCGCAAGGCCCCGGACAGAACCCGGCUUACAGGCCAUCCGCGCAU